UAGGGAAUAUUGGACAAUGGGCGAAAGCCUGAUCCAGCAAUGCCGCGUGAGUGAUGAAGGCCUUAGGGUUGCAAAGCUCCUUUACCCGGGAUGAUAAUGACAGUACCGGGAGAAUAAGCUCCGGCUAACUCCGUGCCAGCAGCCGCGGUAAUACGGAGGGAGCUAGCGUUGUUCGGAAUUACUGGGCGUAAAGCGCACGUAGGCGGCUAUUCAAGUCAGAGGUGAAAGCCCGGGGCUCAACCCCGGAACUGCCUUUGAAACUAGAUAGCUUGAAUCCAGGAGAGGUGAGUGGAAUUCCGAGUGUAGAGGUGAAAUUCGUAGAUAUUCGGAAGAACACCAGUGGCGAAGGCGGCUCACUGGACUGGUAUUGACGCUGAGGUGCGAGAGCGUGGGGAGCAAACAGGAUUAGAUACCCUGGUAGUCCACGCCGUAAACGAUGAUAACUAGCUGUCAGGGCACAUGGUGUUUUGGUGGCGCAGCUAACGCAUUAAGUUAUCCGCCUGGGGAGUACGGUCGCAAGAUUA
rnacentral:rRNA from 1 species